GAUGAACGCUGGCGGCGUGCCUAAUACAUGCAAGUCGAGCGAACAGACGAGGAGCUCGCCCCCCUGCCGUUAGCGGCGGACGGGUGAGUAACCCGUGGAUACCGUAUCUCUAAGACUGGGUUAAGUUCGGGAAACAGGAGCUCAUACCGGAUAACAUGUUCUACCGCAUGGUUGACCAGUGACAGACGGUCUUGCUGUUACUUUUACAUGGAUCCGAGCCGACUUAGCGAGUUGGUAAGGUAACGGCUUACCAAGGCAACGAUGCGUAGCCGACCUGAGAGGGUGAUCGGCCACACUGGAUCUGAGACACGUUCCAGACUCCUACGGGAAGCAGCAGUAGAGAAUCUUCCGCGAUGGGCGAGUGCCUGACGUUGCAGCGCCGGGGGAGGGAAGAAGGUCUUCUGAUCGGUGAGCGCUGUUAGUAGGGAAGAUCAAAAGUUUAAGUAACUAUGCACAUCAUGACGGUACCUAAUCAGAAAGCCACGGCUAACUACGUG
rnacentral:rRNA from 1 species